AUGUUCCUCUGCUGCCGCCGCCACCUCACCUUCUCACCGCCCACCGCCGUCCCCUCUCCCAGUGGACACCGCCCUCUCAAGCCAAGAACGCCCAGAGCCCCAAUCCUAGCAUCCAAGAACCCCCCACCACGGCCAUGGCCACUGCCAAGGCGGCAAUGGCGGUGGCGGUGCAGCAACACCGAUGCCGUCCAACCGCCACCCCUCGUCGAGGCCAGUGUCUCCGGCGGCGGCGAGAAGAAGAGCUUCUGGGCGGCGGUGAGCCUCAUCAUCGGCACGGCGGUCGGGCCGGGCAUGCUGGCGCUGCCGUCGGCCACCAUCCGCUCCGGCCCGGUCCCCUCCACCGUGGCCAUCCUGCUCUCCUGGGCCUACGUCGUGUCCUCCAUCGUCCUCGUCGCCGAGCUCAGCUUCGCGGCCAUGGAGAGCGGGGGCGUGAACGAGGUCAGCUUCACAGGACUUGCGUCGAGCACCUUGGGGGCAACCUUCGGCGGCGGCGUCGCCGUCGUCUACGCUGCGCUGAGCUUCUCCCUGAUGGUCGCCUGCGUAGCCGGCAUCGGCUCACUGGUCUCUCAGCUCUUCCCCGCGGUGAAUCCGGUCUUGGCCAACGCGCUCUUCCCGUGCUUCGCCGGGGUGCUCAUCGCGUUCUUCCCGUUCAAGGCUGUCGAUGGCGUCAACCGCGUGCUCUGCGGCCUGAUGCUCGUCUCGAUCACGUCGCUUGUGGUGACAGGCGUCUCCGUCGGCCGGAGCAGCAUGCUGAAUUCGCUUGGCCACGCGUGCUGGAGCCCUGGUGCCAUCUUGCCGGCCAUUCCGGUCACCGUGCUCACGCUUGGGUUCCACGUGAUCACGCCAUUCAUCUGCAAGAUUGUAGGUGACUCGGUGUAUGAUGCACGCAGGGCUAUUCUCAUUGGGGGUGCUGUACCAUUGGUCAUGGUUUUGUCAUGGAAUGCGGUCAUUCUGGGAUUGGCAGGCGCGACCGGCAGUGCAAGGUUUGAUGACCCUAUUAAGCUUCUUCUCUCGGUGAAUCCAGCAGCAUUGGCUCCCGUUCGAGGCUUCGCGUUUGCUGCAUUGGCGACGAGCUUGAUAGGAUAUGCAGUCAGCUUUCCGAAGCAGUUGGAAGACACUUUGCAGUUGAUUGUUAAGAGUUUUUCAAUGAAGCAAGGAAGUGUGGAGUUGUCCAAUGCUGGUGGUGAUCAUGGCAGGAACGAGGAGGUGGUUCUUACGUUGGCGGUACUGAUAAUUCCCAUAUUUAUUGUAUCAUUCUUUUCAACAGCGUUUGCCAAGGCAUUAGAUUUUGCUGGGGUUUAUGCAAACUGCUUCUUAUUUGGGAUCCUGCCUCCUGCAAUGGCCUGGAUUCAUCGGUCAAGGAAAAAGAGGUCACCUGGUUCAUGUGAAGACAUUUUGCCUGGUGGGAAUGCUGCUCUCUUGGUACUUUUCAUCAUUGCGGUCAUCCUAGCAUUCCGGCAUUAA
rnacentral:rRNA from 1 species